rnacentral:lncRNA from 1 species
UUUAGGAUUUGGCCAUUUUAUUCUCACUGAGUAGAGCAAUCUUGCUCUCUUCCUUUGCCAAGAUAAUCAGGAUCUCUUUCUCCUCCAAAAUGUUCCGGCUCCCAGAGCAGAGUGGAGCUAAUCUUGGUUGCUAGGCGGGUCCAAGUAGUAGUUCAUUGUGCCACCUGGUGGCGGUGGAAGAAGCCCGCAGCUUCAGUCGAGGAGGAAGGAAGGUGGGGCGGGCGGGAAAUUGAGUCCUCAUCAGGCUUUAGAGGGAGGUGAUCCAGGAAUGCAGGUGCUGGGUUAGGGAGUACAAACUACCUCGAAUACUGAGCCUUUCAGUCACUUCAUCGUCUUGCGGGGCUGGGGCGCGGGCGGGGAGUGUGUGCUAGACAGCCGUAUUCCAGUCCCCAAAGCAGCGUCCUUUGCUAGAUUUGACCCACGUCGACCCUGAAACCAGAGAAGAGCCUCAGCAUGUGCGUCAUAGGGAUGAAAUCAGGAGAGAAGUGUUGCCAGGUCGGGGAAGGAGGAAAGAUUCCACGGGAACUCACCCAGUACCUCCACCACCUCAUUUACCCCCCACCGCAUACAUCUUGAUAUCCGAGGACCCAGAACACUCAGGGUCAGAACCAGGAGGCAACAUCCCCAUCCAGGAUCUCAAAGAAACAAGCUCCUGCCCUCGAUUUGGGGACAAGAGGAAUCCUGUGUUUGUUUGCACCUCUUCCCCGAGGGUGGUACUCAGACCUCCUUUUAUGCAUGAUGAUACUGGGAGCCUGAAGAGGGAUGUGACUUGUCCAAGAUCGCACAGCUAGUAAUGGUCAAAAUGAGGUUACGAGCCCUCGAACUCCUCUGCCUUUUUUGCUAUGAAUUUAUUCCAUCUUCUUCAGGGUAGCCUUUGCAUGGAACCCAGAAUACCUUAGUGCUUGGUCUUAUCCUUCUCCCUACUUCUGUCCUCCUUGACCCCUGCUACUCACACUAAGAUGUCAUCCUGGGAGCAGCCAUCAAUAAGGACCAAGCAGACGAGUGGCACAGUCUGGGCUCCUAGCAUAGUCCCUUAAUCCCCAGAGAGACUGUGCCCCACCAGGUGGCAUAGGGCCAGCUAGGUCCUGGCCCCUUUUUCCAUACAUUCGACUGUCAGGACUACCUGCUUCAUCAGAGCUACCAGAACUCAAGCACUGAAACUCACAACCGCAGUCCACACCAUUGCAGUAAUCUCGGGCUGAAACAGAAGCACCAGCUACCAUCAGAGGGGGACAAUGACUGCUUCAACUGCAAGGAAUCCCCCCCAUCCCUAGUGCAUAACCAAAGGCCUCCCCUUUUUCUCUAAGCAAACCCCUUUCUUCAGCUUCUCCCUUUCUGCGCUCCCCAAUUAUCUUCUCUCCUCCUGCCCAUCUUUCUCUGGACUAUCUCCACAGUCUCAGAGGCCCACAUGGGCUCCCAGCAGUGCUACCCUCCUUACCCUGACAGCUCCUGCCUCCCGGAUGCAGGCCAAAGCCUUGGCUUUGACUGUGUAAAACACUUUACUCAGUGACUUUUUCAGGAGCCCUGUUGGAUAUCCGAUAAAGGUCCCAGAGUAGUUUAAGAAAUAGAUCCUGCCUCCUGAGAUUUCAUAGCCUAAUGGAGAGACAAAU